rnacentral:rRNA from 1 species
UACGUAGGGUCCGAGCGUUGUCCGGAAUUACUGGGCGUAAAGAGCUCGUAGGUGGUUUGUCGCGUUGGUCGUGAAAUCUCACAGCUCAACUGUGGGCGUGCGGGCGAUACGGGCAGACUAGAGUACUGCAGGGGAGACUGGAAUUCCUGGUGUAGCGGUGGAAUGCGCAGAUAUCAGGAGGAACACCGGUGGCGAAGGCGGGUCUCUGGGCAGUAACUGACGCUGAGGAGCGAAAGCGUGGGGAGCGAACAGG